UUACUCUUGUUUCUCUUCAGAUCGUAUAAAUCUUUCGCCUUUUACUAAAGAUUUCCGUGGAGAGGAGUAUUAUGAGUAUUAGCAAUUUUUUUUCAUGCCCUGCAUUUAGUGGGGCU
ensembl:snRNA U5 U5 spliceosomal RNA